rnacentral:rRNA from 1 species
ACGGAAGGCAGCAGUGGGGAAUAUUGCACAAUGGGGGAAACCCUGAUGCAGCGACGCCGCGUGAGUGAAGAAGUAUUUCGGUAUGUAAAGCUCUAUCAGCAGGGAAGACAAUGACGGUACCUGACUAAGAAGCCCCGGCUAACUACGUGCCAGCAGCCGCGGUAAUACGUAGGGGGCAAGCGUUAUCCGGAUUUACUGGGUGUAAAGGGAGCGUAGACGGUCGAGCAAGUCUGAUGUGAAAGCCCGGGGCCCAACCCCGGAACUGCAUUGGAAACUGUUUGACUAGAGUGCAGGAGAGGUAAGUGGAAUUCCUAGUGUAGCGGUGAAAUGCGUAGAUAUUAGGAGGAACACCAGUGGCGAAGGCGGCUUACUGGACUGUAACUGAUGUUGAGGCUCGAAAGCGUGGGGAGCAAACAGGAUUAGAUACCCUGGUA